AAGCAGCACCUAGAAAACGAAAAAUAAAUACCGUGGGAUCGGUCGGGGUGCCCAGGGACUGCGGCAGAGGACUGACUCGCCAUUGCUUUUAGAUAAUGUAACCGAUCCCGUUAGGAGCCGCACGCUGGUUCACCCCGAGGAUCGCGGUGGGAAAUGCCGCCUUACAGGAGUCUCCUUAAAGGUUGGCGUCCAGCGCAUCCCGAGAACCCCGCCACAUUCCGAUAUGCAAGGCUUUGUUGAAAAAGAAAAAAAAUUAUACCUGGCUUUGGAGGCGCACGCUUUUAAUCCCAGCACUCCCGAGGCAGAGUCUCACUCUGGAACCCAGGCUGGCCUUGAACUGUGGCAAUUCUUCAGCUCGCUUGACCUCCUAAAUGCUGGGACUGCAGGCAGGAGGCACACACCAAGUUGUUAGUGCCUCAAAAGCGGAAGACGAAGCCAGUGUCCGUGCUGGUGUUGCGUUUAUCUGAGAAUUUGGGAGGCAGAGGCAGACGAAUCUGAGUUCAAGAGUAUAAGCGAACUUGAGAGAACCUGACAAACCUCAUGGGCAAACGCAGGUGAAGACUCUAAGUGCUCGACGUCAGUGUGACUCUAUGCACACACCAGUGUGAAGGGCUAGGUGAAGAAGAAACUAAGGGACACUGGGGUCAGUCAUUCCUCUCUGGACUGAGGUACCAGGCUCUACAAAAUGAGAUUCCAGAGUGCAAUAAAGUGAACAAAGCUUUUGUUUUUGUUUCUCUGUGUAUCCUUGGCUGUCCUGGAACUCCCUCUGUAGACCAGGUUGUCCUCACACUGAGAUCCACCUGCCUCUGCUCCCCAAGUGCUGGGACACACUGUGCCUGGCUUUCAUUUCCGUUUUUUUUUUAAAUAUUUAUUUAUUUAUUAUGUAUACAAUAUUCUGUCUGUGUGUAUGUCUGCAGGCCAGAAGAUGGCACCAGACCUCAUUACAGAUGGUUGUGAGCCACCAUGUGGUUGCCAGGAAUUGAACUCAGGACCUUUGGAAGAGCAAGCAAUACUCUUAACCACUGAGCCAUCUCUCCAGCCCCUCAUUUCCGUUUUUUAAGUUCAAGCAACAAGCUGGCUUUUUUGUUUUGUUUUACUGGAAUUAAAGUUCUUUCCAAACACUUCUCUACUUCUCAAGGCACCUUAUGAUAAACAACAAAACCAAAGGGACCAGGAGAGAUCCCCAUAAGACUCAGUCCUCAAUAAUCCAUCCCAUGUGUUAUCUUUAGAUUCAGAAUGGCUUAAGACUGAUGCA